AACGAACGCUGGCGGCAGGCUUAACACAUGCAAGUCGAGCGCCCCGCAAGGGGAGCGGCAGACGGGUGAGUAACGCGUUGGAAUCUACCGUAACCUACGGAAUAGCUCCGGGAAACUGGAAUUAAUACCGUAUAAGCUCUACGGGGGAAAGAUUGAUCGGGGAAUGGUGAGCCCGAGUUGGAUUAGCUAGUUGGUGGGGUAAAGGCCUACCAAGGCGACGAUCCAUAGCUGGUCUGAGAGGAUGAUCAGCCACAUUGGGACUGAGACACGACCCAAACUCCUACGGGAGGCAGCAGUGGGGAAUAUUGGACAAUGGGCGCAAGCCUGAUCCAGCCAUGCCGCGUGAGUGAUGAAGGUCUUAGGAUUGUAAAGCUCUUUCACCGGUGAAGAUAAUGACGGUAACCGGAGAAGAAGCCCCGGCUAACUUCGUGCCAGCAGCCGCCGCGGUAA
rnacentral:rRNA from 1 species